rnacentral:rRNA from 1 species
UACGGGCGGGGCGAGCGUUGUUCGGAUUCAUUGGGUGUAAAGGGUGCGAAGGCGGUCGUCUAAGUCGGAGGUGAAAUGUCUACGGCUCAACCGAGGCAUUGCCUCCGAUACUGGACGACUUGAGUGCGGAAGGGGAGCGUGGAAUUCCUGGUGUAGCGGUGAAAUGCGUAGAUAUCAGGAGGAACACCGGUGGCGAAGGCGACGCUCUGGUCCGCAACUGACGCUCACGCACGAAAGCCAGGGGAGCGAACGGG